rnacentral:rRNA from 1 species
AACGAACGCUGGCGGCAGGCUUAACACAUGCAAGUCGAGCGCCCCGCAAGGGGAGCGGCAGUCGGGUGAGCAACGCGUGGGAACGUACCCUUUGCUACGGAAUAGCUCCGGGAAACUGGGAUUAAUACCGUAUGUGCCCUACGGGGGAAAGAUUUAUCGGCAAAGGAUCGGCCCGCGGUGGAUUAGCUAGUUGGUGGGGUAAUGGCCUACCAAGGCGACGAUCCAUAGCUGGUCUGAGAGGAUGAUCAGCCACAUUGGGACUGAGACACGGCCCAAACUCCUACGGGAGGCAGCAGUGGGGAAUAUUGGACAAUGGGCGCAAGCCUGAUCCAGCCAUGCCGCGUGAGUGAUGAAGGCCUUAGGGUUGUAAAGCUCUUUCACCGGAGAAGAUAAUGACGGUGUCCGGAGAAGAAGCCCCGGCUAACUUCGUGCCAGCCGCCGCAGUAACAC